UGAGGAAUAUUGGUCAAUGGGCGAGAGCCUGAACCAGCCAAGUAGCGUGCAGGAUGACGGCCCUAUGGGUUGUAAACUGCUUUUAUGCGGGGAUAAAGCGGGCGACGUGUCGCCCCUUGCAGGUACCGCAUGAAUAAGGACCGGCUAAUUCCGUGCCAGCAGCCGCGGUAAUACGGAAGGUCCGGGCGUUAUCCGGAUUUAUUGGGUUUAAAGGGAGCGCAGGCCGGAGAUUAAAGCGUGUUGUGAAAUGUAGACGCUCAACGUCUGCACUGCAGCGCGAACUGGUUUCCUUGAGUACGCACAAAGUGGGCGGAAUUCGUGGUGUAGCGGUGAAAUGCUUAGAUACCACGAAGAACUCCGAUUGCG
rnacentral:rRNA from 1 species